UACAUAAAUGUCUGAUUACUUGAAUUAAACAUUAGUCACUGUUAUUCACAGUGAGUCUGUUUUUAAACUUUGUGGAACCAUCAGCCAGGCUGUGACUGGGGGCAGCUUUUGUUUCCUCUUUUCACCCAUUUUUUGUUUUUGUGUAUCAGCUAAUCUUGUGCUAAAAAUGGAAAAGCAAAUUUUCUCUUGGUCCAGGAUGUGAUUAUACUACAGGAGAUUUUUUUAAUGUUGUGACCUGACACAUGUACAAACCUAAUUUACUGUAAUACACCUAGGAUACACACUUUUGGAGCUUAUCGGUAUACUGUCUACCAAAUUCAGACCCUGAUAUAUACUUUUUUUCUUCUUGACGUCUUCUUAUAUUUUUUACCCAUGCAGAUGCACAACAUUUCACAGUUAUUUUUUCAAGAUUGCAGAUUUACAGAAAAGAAAAAUGUAAAAUGGUUUUAACAAGGAUUGCACUACUUGGAUGUGUUCUUUGAGACAUUUUGUAGCUUUCUUAAAGGCCUGCCCUAUUUACAUGUUGAUCUGGAUAUAAAAAAAAAGAAGAUUCCUGUACAUUUUGUUUUCAUGACUACAAACGUAAGACUACUGCCUUGGUAUGGAGUGAGUUUGAGUAUACGUGCAGUAGUAUUGGUUGGUGAAACAGCUGCUUUCCAGAUGUCAGUGCAUGGUUGGCAUCAUAUGGCCUCAGUGAUACCUACAGACAAGACAACAACAGCGACAGUUUGUCUUUUUGUUCCAGCUGCACAGGUUGAGUCCAACAGUUUCCAGCAGCCGCUCCUCCUUUGUCUUUUCUUUGAAACAGUGUGAUUUCACACACACACACACACACACAUCAGUCUAUCUCUGACACAGGCAGAAGUCAAACCAAGAGUCAGCUUCCUCUAUUCCUGUCAUUUUAUGACCUCAACAUUAUAACAAGGAGACAGAAAAGGAAGUGAAAUAAGGCCACUGAGCAAAAGUUCAAAGCGAUGAUUCUUGACCACAUGGAAGUGAAAAAUGUAAUGAUUAAAAUGGACAACUGUUUGACUAUUUAUUGACUAAUAGUUCAAUACAAUCACACAGGAAGUUUACUGAAAUGGCACACAGAUGUCAGCAGAGGGAGAAACAGACAACACCAUAUUAAAGAUGUUUUUUUUUUUUAUCUCUUCUCAAAUCCACGUCUAACACCAUAAACCAUUUGUUAACAAAUAUAACUUCUGCCAAAUGUUCAGAUUAUUUUUUCAAACCUUUGUAUAAAAGAAUUUCCCUACGGGGAUUGAUAAAGUAAUUCUGAUUCUGAUUUCCGGAUGUGGAGAGAUGAUUCAGCAGUGAGCCCAAAUAGUUAUUUUGGAAAAUGGAUUAUUAUUGGUAGAGAUAAUGUGGUGAAUCAUGAGACGUGAAUCAUGUCACAAUGCGGUUGAAACAUCGCCAUAUACAGGCCUGGCAUAUGUACUACAGGGACCGGAGUCGUAUUUAAAUUUGCUCUUAGACGCAGAUUUUGUUUGUGGGCUGUUCCUUCAGAUAUGCAUGUGUACAAAUGGAAACCCGCGUGAAUACGCCCAUAAAAUGCAUCUAAACUAUGCCUAAAUGUCUUCUUAUUAACGAGUCUUCGUCACCUUCAUCCUCCUGCAACUUCAAUGCACCGCAAUCAGUGUUUUUCCGGUGUACUUACGUCACAUAGAGGCGACAGAACAGGCAAAGAAAAAGAAAAACAAACAAACAAAACGGUAGCGGCGUGUGACGUCAGACGCCGAAAAAGUUUGCUUUUAAAAGCCACAAGUGUACGAAGGUUUAGCUAAAUGACGGCUCGACCUGGUCCGGAUGGAGAUUCAGAGAGAAACGAUUCGUUGGGAGUUCUGCGCACGGAGACCAGGUCGAAGUUGUCCAGUGUCAGAGUACACACCUGAAACUGAAAGACAAGAUUGGUCAUCCUGAAGAUCUUCAACACAACUAUGUCCAUGAAGCCGUACAUGCAGUAACAUAUCUGGAAGAGAAGGUCCUGACGCUGCCACUUGGCGGAGGGGCUGAGAGAAGACCACACCAACCAGGAGAUGCUGGCCAGGAGGAACAGGGAGCCCAGGACAAUGGCUGCUAUCUGCACCUUCUCAAUCACAGUCAGAGAGAUGGACUGCCACUGUACAGGGAGCGGCUGCAUGUUCUGUCAGACGAGGAUUCAGUGCUGCUGCUAAUGUGAGAACUGCAAUACUCAGUAUUCACCUAACAUCUAAUCGUCGUCCUUCGUGGUGAGUAUUUGGUAUCUAAGAACCCAGUGUCUGUGCAAAGGAGAAAUAUUCCACUAUUAUUGUGAAGAAAAAAAGCACAGUGUGUGAGCUGAAAAUCUGUGUUUCAUAAAGAGGGGAAUUACACAACAGAGACCCCAGAUUGUUCAGUUUAUUCUUUUUUUUCUUUCUUUUCAGCCAGAAUAUUAAAAGAUACACUUUUAUGGAGUGUGCUGUUGGUGUCACAUUCAAAAUAUUUGCUUAAAAUUUAACACAAGUACCCGGAGAAACAUUCAAUAUAUUUAAUCCCUCUGUCAAAUUGAAACAGAUGUUCCAGUGAAUUCCAAAUAAACAGAUAUUUUUGCAGUG